UAAAAUAAUAAGUAUAGUCUUGCAGGGAAGUGGUACUUUUAAGGUGUAGGUGAGCACUUUUUAGGAAAUCUACUGAAGUCAGUUAACUUAGGCUUGAAAUAUGUUAACAAGAGAAAUGAAUCCUUGACAGUUUCGUAAGUGAACAAUUACUGCUGUUAUAACAUGUAUCAAAUUGAUAAAUAUUCUUUUACAGUGAAGUUAUUCAUUUUAUCUGUUGUUCCUAGCCUGACACUGGGCAGGUGCCAAAAAAAUAAAGUGAUGCUCUCUUCAAUUGCGGUAAGAAGUCAACACAUUGGAAGAUUGUUACGUUUGUUUAACAUGCCUAUCUACAAUCUGUAGCCUGACACUGGGCAGGUGCCAAAAACAGUGAUGUAACCUUCUGUAUUGUGUUUGGCAAAAGACAUACUAGUGUUGUAUAAUGACCGACCAUUCACAUGGGGUGGAGGUUAUCCGUUCUCCGUGAUGACUGGACAAACGAGGGUUUCUAUAUCCUGACGAUGUGAGCCACCCACAGACAAGGAUGAACUUCCUUCCAAGUGGCCUCUUGUUACAGUCAUGAGCGGUGGACAGCCUAUGACGAAAAUAUAUUGCAGCUUGCGUUGGGAAAAUUUGUAUGUAUGCUUCAACGGAAUUUAUAUUCGUAGCACAGAAUAUUAUAAACCACCCCGAGGACUUUACGAAAUACUCUUGUGGGAAAUCAAUUCGCUAUCCGGGUUUAGAAAUAAAGAUUGUAAAUGAAAUUGAAAGAAAUACCAGUGGUGAAAUCUACGGUAGUUCACCCUAUAUGUUUAAAGAAUAUUUCAAUGAUCCCGUAAAAACCAAAGCAGCAAAAACUGACGACGGCUGGUUCAGGAAGGACGACAUAGGAAGAAUGACUGAAUACGGGGAACUAUUUUUUGAAGGCAGAACGUCAAACAUGAUUACCUUAGGCGGUUUCAACGUCGCUCCAGAGAUUUUAGAGUAGGUGAUGAACAAUUUUGCAGGUGUGGAAUCCGUGGUUAUUGUUCCGGUUCCCGACGAUAUUUACUACUAGGUGUUAUGUGCAUGUGUUAAAAAGAAACGGGAUAUGACGUUACUGAAGAAAAGCUUCGCAAGUGUUGUGAAGAUUUUCAUGAUGAGCCUGGCUUAUUUACAGUAUUGCCUAAGUUUUACUUGUUUGUCGAGCGAUUUCCAGAAACCACUUAAGGAAAUGUUAGUCGAAAAGAACUAAGAAAGAUUGCAACUCGGCGAUUUCAAACUAGAAUACCAUGUGUGUGUUUCAAAGCCAUUGGGUUAGGUCGUUUAAUGGUGUCAUUCAUAGCUUUGUGCAGCGUGUCUGAAGGUCAAACCAAUUCUUACUGAAUCUUUAUACGAGCAGCUCUAACGUUUUUGGAGCAAAUCAGUAGUUUGGGAAAACAAAAUAGGCCUAUGUGUUGAUGAACGUAGGCAAAGUACAUAUACAGUUUAUUUUAGUUAAUGUUAUACGUUUUCAAUUUUUCAAUAUGUUAAAGCUGCUCGCCCGCACAAAGGUUUAUGGAUUCACCGCACUAUAUGGUUAUGUAGGAAAAAGUAAAGCGUUGCAAAAGGUUUAUUAUUUUUCAAUAUAGCCAUAUAGGGCUGUGAAUCCGUAAACUUGUUUUCAUUAGCCAUUUUUUUCAAAACGCUACGUAGAUUUUCGCUUAUUUUAUUGAUUAUACCUUUUCAUUUUAUAUCUUUGUUACAAAAAUGUAGCUUUUGAGAAAUUUAAUUUUUCGACCAAACUGAGGGCGAACAGUUUUAUUGACUUUUGGUUUUAUUGUAAUUUUACCUGUCAACAUAUAUAUUCAUUGUUUUAUUAAUCACGUUAAAGUGUACAGGACCUAACAGCUUUAUCAUAAAGAUUUACCAGGACUUAUGGUUUGUUUUGCUUCUGGGCAGUAGAAAGAUGAACCAUAAUGGGCGAUCUAGAGGUUACGGUGUGCGUUUUGCAAUCCAAUAGACUGAUUUCCAGUCAAUUU
rnacentral:lncRNA from 1 species